UCCAAUCGAACUCGGAGAUAGCUGGUUCUCCCCGAAAUAGCUUUAGGGCUAGCGUUGUGUUAGUUUACCGGAGGUAGAGCACUGAAUUGGCUAAGGGGCGAUGAGCUUACUGAACCUUAUCAAACUUCGAAUGCCGGAUAAAUGGUGCACAGCAGUCAGACAGUGUGAGAUAAGUUUCAUUGUCAAGAGGGAAACAGCCCAGACCCACAGCUAAGGUCCCAAAUGAACGCUAAGUGGAAAACGAUGUGGGGUUGCAGAAACAACCAGGAUGUUGGCUUAGAGGCAGCCACUCAUUAAAAGAGUGCGUAAUAGCUCACUGGUCGAGUGACCCUGCGCGGAAAAUAUAACGGGGCUAAGCGUCCAACCGAAGCUUGGGAUGUCUAAGGACAUGGUAGGGGAGCGUCGUGUAUAGGGAGAAGCAUGAGCGAGAGCACAUGUGGACAGUACACGAGUGAGAAUGCCGGAAUGAGUAGCGAGAAUUAUGUGGGAAUCAUAAUGGCCGAAAAUCUAAGGUUUCUUGGGGAAGGUUCGUCCGCCCAAGGUAAGCCGGGAGCUAAGGCGAGGCCGAAAGGCGUAGUCGAUGCACAUACGGUUGAAAUUCCGUAGCCACCGAACCUUAAGUACACUGACACAUAGAGAUAGCGGGACCCGGGCGUUGGUUGACCCGGGCGUAAGGGACCGAACUUUAGUAGGGAAGUCCGCGAUGCUCUGUGGCGAGAAAAGGUGUAUGGUAUGCUAAGGUGCCCGUACCGCAAACCGACACAGGUAGAUGAGGAGAGAAUCCUAAGGCCAACGGGAGAAGGGUUGUUAAGGAACUCGGCAAAAUGACCCCGUAACUUCGGGAUAAGGGGAGCCUCCUACGGGAGGCCGCAGCGAAUAGGCCCAAGCGACUGUUUACCAAAAACACAGGUCUCUGCUAAAUCGAAAGAUGACGUAUAGGGGCUGACGCCUGCCCGGUGCUGGAAGGUUAAGAGGAGAGGUUAGCGCAAGCGAAGCUUUGAAUUUAAGCCCCAGUAAACGGCGGCCGUAACUAUAACGGUCCUAAGGUAGCGAAAUUCCUUGUCAGGUAAGUUCUGACCCGCACGAAUGGCGUAAUGAUUUGGGCACUGUCUCAACAGCCCGCCCGGCGAAAUUGUAGUACUGGUGAAGAUGCCAGUUACCCGCAACUAGACGGAAAGACCCCAUGGAGCUUUACUGUAGCCUAAUACUGAAGAUCGGUAAUGCAUGUACAGGAUAGGUGGGAGCCAGCGAAACCCGGGCGUCAGCUUGGAUGGAGGCAACCUUGGAAUACCACCCUUGUAUUGCUGGUUUUCUAACCUGCGGCCAUGAAUCUGGUCGGGGGACACUGUUAGGUGGGCAGUUUGACUGGGGCGGUCGCCUCCAAAAGCGUAACGGAGGCGCUCAAAGGUUGGCUCAGCACGGACGGAAAUCGUGCAUAGAGUGCAAACGCAUAAGCCAACUUGACUGCGAGACCGACGGGUCGAGCAGGUACGAAAGUAGGAGUUAGUGAUCCGGUGGUAUGUGAGUGGAAAUGCCAUCGCUCAACGGAUAAAAGCUACCCUGGGGAUAACAGGCUGAUCUCCCCCAAGCGUCCACAGCGACGGGGAGGUUUGGCACCUCGAUGUCGGCUCGUCACAUCCUGGGGCUGUAUUCGGUCCCAAGGGUUCGGCUGUUCGCCGAUUAAAGUGGCACGCGAGCUGGGUUCAGAACGUCGUGAGACAGUUCGGUCCCUAUCUGUUGCGGGCGCAGGAGAUUUGAAGGGAGCUGUCCUUAGUACGAGAGGACCGGGAUGGACAGACCUCUGGUGCACCAGUUGUCGUGCCAACGGCACAGCUGGGUAGCUACGUCUGGACGAGAUAAACGCUGAAAGCAUCUAAGUGUGAAACUCCCCCUAAGAUAAGAUCUCCCAUCCAUUAGGAGUAAGGGACGACAAAGACUAUGUCGUUGAUAGGUCGGAAGUGUAAGUGCAGUAAUGCAUUGAGCUGACCGAUACUAAUAACCCGAGGGCUUGACCUA
rnacentral:rRNA from 1 species